GACGAACGCUGGCGGCGUGCCUAAUACAUGCAAGUAGAACGCUGAAGGAGGAGCUUGCUCUUCUGGAUGAGUUGCGAACGGGUGAGUAACGCGUAGGUAACCUGCCUGGUAGCGGGGGAUAACUAUUGGAAACGAUAGCUAAUACCGCAUAACAGUAGAUAUCGCAUGAUAGCUGCUUGAAAGGUGCAAUUGCACCACUACCAGAUGGACCUGCGUUGUAUUAGCUAGUUGGUGAGGUAACGGCUCACCAAGGCAACGAUACAUAGCCGACCUGAGAGGGUGAUCGGCCACACUGGGACUGAGACACGGCCCAGACUCCUACGGGAGGCAGCAGUAGGGAAUCUUCGGCAAUGGACGGAAGUCUGACCGAGCAACGCCGCGUGAGUGAAGAAGGUUUUCGGAUCGUAAAGCUCUGUUGUAAGAGAAGAACGAGUGUGAGAGUGGAAAGUUCACA
rnacentral:rRNA from 1 species